AACAACAACAUGAUUUGAAUCGUCCUCUAACUCGUGUGUCGCUACACAGUUGAUUGGAAUUAUUCUUUGUUCCCUAGUAUAUAUCAAUAAUCGGCAAAAACUAAUGGAAGAUCACAGCAUCGAGGGGAAGUUUCAGAUCGUCAUGAUUGCCAAAGGGUUCAAGGGUGGAUUGCCAAAGGUUUACGAAGAAUCACUUAUCGAAUAAGGAUUUCACACGAAAUAGUGAAAAGAAGAAUACAUGAGAAGGGUCUACAUUCUUACAAGGUUUAUCACGUGCAAAAAGUCUGUAAGAUGGAUUAUGUCACUCGACGAAAAUUUUAUCACUUGGUGCUAAGAACGUUAAACGCAAUCCACGCGGUCUUGAAGAUAUCUUGUUUUCGGAUGAGAGAAUUUCUUUCAUCAGCAACAUUCGCAAUCAUCAGAAUACCAAAGUUUAGGAGUAUAGAAAUCCUCACAUUAUGACACAGGGUCUUCUGGACAGGUCUAAUUUAUUCCAUAUAUGACGUUAACAUGUAAACAAAGCCAGUUUAAACAUCAAACUGGUAGAUAUUAUACGUUCACGAAGAACCGGUCAUUUGCAAUCCAUGGCUCCUUUAAAACUGACAACAUGUACUGUACGAUGAUGUAUAUGAGUACUUGUUGAGCACAAUAUGAGUAUUUGAUGACUAUAUGAAGAUGCAAUAAAG
rnacentral:lncRNA from 1 species